rnacentral:tRNA from 1 species
GGGCUCGUAGGGUAGUGGACUAUCCUCUUGGGCUUCGGACCCAAGGACCUGGGUUCAAAUCCCAGCGAGUCCG